rnacentral:lncRNA from 1 species
GCAAAAUACAGAUUUGCAAGCAAAAGCAUUCAAAACCAGCAAGUAAGCUCCAUACAGCCACUCUGCAGUGUGGUGACAGUUUAAUGACUGAAAUAAGCUCAGGUUACUGGUACAAGUACUCUAAGACCUGCUUCGUUGUGGAAGAGGAUAGCCAUAACCACAGACUCAAGGGAAGAGAUGGCACUGUGCCUUCAAAAUUGGGCUGCUGUGUAGUAAUGAAGCAAGGAAGGAGUCAAGAGGGAGGCACAGGUGGGUCUGACAUUGAUGGAUUAGAGCUAAUACCACCUUCUGGAUCUUAAUAUACCAUUUAUAUAAAAGCUGUGACUCGUCACAUGGUAUUUACAGUUCAGAA